rnacentral:rRNA from 1 species
GGGCAUGCGGCAGCUUAMYAUGCAGUCGAGCGGAUGAAGUAGCUUCGCUACYGGAUUCAGCGGCGGACGGGUGAGUAAUGCUUAGGAAUCUGCCUAUUAGUGGGGGACAACAUCUCGAAAGGGAUGCUAAUACCGCAUACGUCCUACGGGAGAAAGCAGGGGAUCUUCGGACCUUGCGCUAAUAGAUGAGCCUAAGUCGGAUUAGCUAGUUGGUGGGGUAAAGGCCUACCAAGGCGACGAUCUGUAGCGGGUCUGAGAGGAUGAUCCGCCACACUGGGACUGAGACACGGCCCAGACUCCUACGGGAGGCAGCAGUGGGGAAUAUUGGACAAUGGGGGGAACCCUGAUCCAGCCAUGCCGCGUGUGUGAAGAAGGCCUUUUGGUUGUAAAGCACUUUAAGCGAGGAGGAGGAGCUCUUGGUUAAUACCCAAGAUGCUUGGACGUUACUCGCAGAAUAAGCACCGGCUAACUCUGUGCCAGCAGCCGCGGUAAUACAGAGGGUGCAAGCGUUAAUCGGAUUUACUGGGCGUAAAGCGCGCGUAGGUGGCCAAUUAAGUCAAAUGUGAAAUCCCCGAGCUUAACUUGGGAAUUGCAUUCGAUACUGGUUGGCUAGAGUAUGGGAGAGGAUGGUAGAAUUCCAGGUGUAGCGGUGAAAUGCGUAGAGAUCUGGAGGAAUACCGAUGGCGAAGGCAGCCAUCUGGCCUAAUACUGACACUGAGGUGCGAAAGCAUGGGGAGCACACAGGAUUAGAUACCCUGGUAGUCCAUGCCGUAGACGAUGUCUACUACCCGUUGGGGCCUUUGAGGCUUUAGUGGCGCAGCUAACGCGAUAAGUAGACCGCCUGGGGAGUACGGUCGCAAGACUAAACUCAAUGAAUUGACGGGGGCCCGCACAACCGGUGGAGCAUGUGGUUUAAUUCUAUGCAUCGCGAACAACCUUACCUGGUCUUGACGUAUUAGAACUUUCCGGAGAUGGAUUGGUGCCUUCGGGACUUACAGAAAGUGCUGCAUGCUGUCUUCGCUCGUGUCAUGAAAUGUUGGGUAAGUCAGCAACCAGCGCACCCCUUUCCCUAUUUGCAGCGAGUAAGCCGGGAGUUUAAGGAGCUGCCAUGACGAAUGGAG